rnacentral:tRNA from 1 species
AGUAAAAUGCCUGAAAUUAAAGGGUUAUCUUGAUAGGAUAAAUUAUGUAUUUUUUACUUUUACUA